rnacentral:lncRNA from 12 species
UCUUUUUUUUAUUUUUAAGAUUUCUUUAUGUGAGAAAGAAGCUCCUGAGCAAGUGAGGGAGGGCUGGGGGGGAGGGGCAGAGGCAGAGGGAGAAAAUCUCAGAUUCCCCAAUGAGUACAGAGCCCACCAACAUGGGGGCUUGAUCUCAUGACCCUGAGAUCACCCUGAGAUUGUGAACAGAGUUGAAAUCAAGAGUAACCCAUUGAGCCACCCAGGCACGCCUCAAAUCAUUUUCUUUCUUUUUUUUUUUUUUAAAUAAGAUUUUAUUUACUUACUUGACAAAAAGAGCGUGUACACAGGGCAGGGAGUGCAGAGGGAGAGGGAGAAGCAGGCUCCCCACUGAGCAGGGAGCCUGAUGUGGGGCUGGAUCCCAGGACCCCAGAAUCAUGACCCGAGCUGAAGGCACUUAACCAAUUUAACACUUAACCAACUAAACCACCCAGGCGCCCCUCAAAUCAUUUUCUGGUCUGGUUAUGUUACUUCUGUUUUUACAGCUCUUAACAGAGACCAAAUUGACAUAUCAUAAACUGCACAAAUAGUGCAAUUUAUUACAUGCCAUGUGUAUACUCCAUGAAACCAUCACCACAAUCAAGAUAACGAAUAUACUCAUCAAAACCCAGAGUGUCCUCGUGUCUCUUCUAAUGGCUUCUUCUAGCUCCUCCCAAUUCCUACCACAUUAUCCCCAUGCAACCACUGAUCUGAUGUUGUUAGUUCACAUUAACUAGAAUUUUACAUUUUAGAACUUUCUAGACAUAAUUAUACACGGUAUAUUCCUUUUUUUAGAAGACUUUAUUUAUUUAUUCAUAGAGACAGAGAGAGAGAGAGGCAGAGACACAGGCAGAGGGAAAAAGCAGGCUCCAUGCACCGGGAGCCCGACGUGGGACUCGAUCCCGGGUCUCCAGGAUCGCGCCCUGGGCCAAAGGCAGGCGCCAAACCGCUGCGCCACCCAGGGAUCCCCUUUUCUUUCUUUUUAAAUCGGACAUGUUACUUUUUAAAAAUGAAUGUAAUGCAGUUCAGGUGCAGCCAGCCCAGCCAGGCUCUUUAUCGGGAGGCCUGGCGACAGCAGGCUUCAGUUUUGCCAGCACUGGGAGCCCAACGGUUGCCUGCGAGGCUUGGGACCCUCCUUGGUUUUAUGGCACCUCCUUCCUAGCCGGUUGGGGUAAAGGGUUGUUCCCCCUUCCCCCAAACCUGCUCCCUGCCCCUCACCCCCACACAUCCUGCUUCCAGCUGCAUUUUGCCCAGAUAAAGGUUAGCCCAUCCCCCCUGUUCCUCCACACCCUCUGCCCAUGCCCCUCCCGGUGUACCCAUCUCGCCCCUCCCCACCCUAUACAAAUACACUUGAGGGCAGACAGAGACUCCAACUUCUUCGGCUCCUUGCUCUGUGCUCUCAGGUGUUCCUUUUGUCACUCCCUGUGCUUGGCUGAUAAACAUGGAUCCAGGUCCAAAGGUAGGAAAGCUCUCCAGCUGCCUCCCCUUUCUCCGCCCCCAACUGCCAACUGCUGUGUCCUCCACAGCUCCAGCCCCCUUCCUAGACCUUCAGGCAGCAGCAGUGACCUUCCUGAAAUGGAAAGUAGGGAGCAGGGUUGGUCAUCAGCCCCAUGGGCAGGCAGGCAGGGGCGCGACAGUGCUCCUCCACCCCCUGCCGGCUGCAGCCUUCUCCUGGGCUCCUCUCCUGUUUUCCCAUCUGUCUCUCCCAUUUCCUCACAUCCCCUCCCUGUCUCAGCCUCUCUCCCGCUGCUUCCCCGCCUGUUCCAUGCUUCUCUGCUUUCCUGGCUACCCCCACAGCCUCUCUGGAUGGUUGGCUUGCUCCCAAACCCCAACCACAUUGCAGGCCCCAAUGACCUGCCUCUGCUAGAGAAGGGAGGCUGCUCACCCCCCUUCCUCCAUUGGCUACCACCAGCAGACCUGACUCCUAGACCUGGAACUAGCCCCACCAUAAAAAGAGUCGUUGAAGGAAAGGUGGGCAGGAUGGGAGGUGGCUGUUUGCAGGCAUCACGGAGCCUGGAUGCGGAAGGGGCUGCUCUGACACAGUCACAGUAAGGCCUCUGAGCCCUCCAGCCUGACUCUUCCUUUCCCAUGCCAAGCCUUUAUUGGGGCCUAGAAGGCAGAAGCUGAGGGGUUGGGGCGAUCCCGAUCCCUGCUCCCUCAGGGCUGCCCCAGUGCCCCAGCACCAGAAGCAAGGUGGUUGGUGUCUCCUCUUCCCUGGGCCUGUGGCAAGAGACAAAGAAAUUCCUCUGGCCUUGGGGCCUCAGGAAUUGUUCCAGCAAAGACAGAAGAUUAAGCCACA